ACGAAACUAUUAUUAUUGAAAUCUUAAAAUUUCAGUGUGUACAAGCAUGUAAAAUGAAAUAAGCAUACAUUAUUGAAAUCAAUCUAUUAUAAGAGUGCAGAGGUAUCAAUUUGUUACAAAAGUGUAGAUGUAUCAAUAUAUUACAAAAGUGCAAAGAUGAUAAUGCAAAAUGGGCAUGCCUGUUAUGUUAUUAACAUAUCAACAUCAAGCUUUCAAUUUAAGACUGAUCAUAUAUAAGAAACUAUUCAUUUUAUCAAGUCUUCUUCGAUGGAGCUUGUGACAUCACUUCGAAAUUCCCUAUUAACUCCAUAUUUUUUAUCUUGUUAAAAGAGUAAGAGGAAGAAUUAGGCAUUAUGGAGGCAUAUAACAAGAUUUGUGGUUGCUAUUAUACAAAAAAUAAACAUCUUGUUAUAAUCAGGGAAAAAUUACAAUAGCAAUGAACAAAUGAAAAAUUAAUCGAACCCUAAAACAAACAUACAUUAAUGUAAUUUUUAUAAAACAAUAAAAAAAAUCAUACUCAUAAAGUCUAAACAAACUUAUAUUACAAUAGUCUAUAAUUUCAUCUGCAUAGAUAUUCCUAUCAAUGCUACUUCCUUCUAUUAGGAUGAUAGUCGCCACUUGAGAGGAUAAUUGAUUGUUUAUUUGUUUAUCCUACAAAGUCAAAAAAAUGAUCAAUUACUUAUGUAAUAAAAUUAUUCAAUUUUAAUUAAUGCUAAAACUUAACUCUGCAUCAUUACUUAAUGCUUUUUUUAAAUUUAGUAAUGUUUUUUGACAUUUUUCUUUGACAAUGCCAAGGUAAAUGAUCUCUAGGAUAGUUAUCUACUAGAUCAUGUAUUCAUUUGGCUGCAUUCUUUGUUACUCUCACAUUAUUACUACAACUUCCUUGACUUGUAACAACAUUUGUUUGGUUACCAUCGCAUUGAAUUGUCUUUGAUAGGUCUUUCUAUACAUUCUAAAUCUAAUUUAAAACAAGUUUAAAACCUUCAACAUCUGAUGUAACCAUGUUUGCAACAUCUACAAAACUAACACAUAUUUUCUCAUAUCGCUUUGGUUCAUCUAUGCAACUUUGCAGCUCAUGGCUCAUUUUCACCCUACAUCCUUUUUCCGUCUUCAUAGGAUGUACUUUUCUAGAAAAACUUAUAUGUCGUUGCAUAUCAUGAAUAUAAUGGCAUACCUGAAAAAAAUUCCUCUAAACUAGAAUCUUAAACAACUAAAACUAAUUUCAACCUUAUCUUUUUCAGAAUGGACUUAAAAAAAUGUUCUCUUCUUACUUUCUCAUCUUUGACAUCUUCUCUAACUAUAUAUUUAGAUCCCACAUAAUUGACAAAUUCACAAUACAUCUUUGUAGUCAACUCUUGCUAAAAUUCUUAAAACUUUAAAAUAGUGUACACCUCUCAAACUUGCUUCUCUAUCUCAUAAGAUGUUACACAUGGAAUUUGUUAGGAAAGACGCCUGACAUAUUCUUCAACUUCUUUUUCACUUUUACUCCUUAAUCCAUUUUCAUAUUCAUAUUCCAAAAUCAUGUGAUGUUAAGUUUCCUCAAAAUUUAUAGUCUUCUAAAUCAUAAAGAAAACAAUGCAUAACAUCACUAAUAUCACCAUAUAUUUUAUAGCUCCUUAACAUAUUUUGAAUUUUCUUAAGUAUAUGGCACAAAAACCAUCGAUGUUAAAUGUUGGCAAAAGCAUCCUCAAUUAUAUUUUUCAUUGCUCUAUCUUGGUCUGUAAUUAUUUUGAUGGGAGCAAAAUUAGAUAUACAUGAUAGUCAAGUCUGAAAUAACCACAUGAAUAUCUCAAUGUCCUUGUGUGAAACUAAUCAACAUCAUGGAAAAAUAGAAUGACCAUGCUCCAAGCUCUUUGCAGGCUUUCCAACUCCUUGCCCCAAUAGAAAAUACAUUUUUUAAUUGACUCUCAACAUCUACUAGCAUAAUAAAGAGAAACAUAUUGUCUUCUACUUGCAUUUUCAUAAAAUAGUCUUGAAUAAUAAUAACAUCUCCAUCUCCGAGCCAUAAUCGUCUUUCUUUCUAAACAUGAUAUAUGUCCUCUCUUUUUAUGAAUGCCACAUUUUCAUAGCCACCCGACUCAAUAACAAGUGAGUGAUAGUUGUGUCACAUUUUAGUUCCUACUCAAUCAUUUACAUUAAGAUUCAUUUUUGCAUAUGCACCUAGGCUAUUAUUGUAUCGAAAGUGCCUAGACUUAGUAGGAGUCAAUAUUAUAUGGUUGUGUUCAAGGUUUAAAAUUCGAACCUUCCACUUUCUAUUUUCCUCUAAACGUCCUUUAAAUUUAGCAUUCCAACCUGUUUUUCCACUAGAUUGGGGCUUAAGAUAUUAAUGGACUUGUUUAGCUUCUUGUCUCACCGCUUCAGCUACAAGCAAAACUCAGAUGCCUUAUACUCCCAUCACUCUCUUUUUGCUAUUUCUCUGCAAACCUUUUUCUUUUUAACAUAAUUUUUGUAAUAAAUAGGCAUUUCAAUAUCACUAUCAAUUAUCAAAUGACAUCCCAAUCAUCGUCCUCUUCAAUUUUCUCUAACCCUUCAACUUUAGUAGUUGUUUCCAUAUUUUUUAUUUCUACAAAAUGAAUAUAAUCACAUUAACAUACUUAAAAAAGUAAAAGAUUACUAAAGAGAGAGCCAUAUAUAAGUUAUAUAUGCUUUAAGUUACAAAAAAUAAUGAUCAAUUGCAAAUUUUUAUGUCAAUCUUGAAUAAAACCGAUUCUUUGUUUCCUCCAACAACAUGAAAUUAUUAUAUCAAUUCCGAAUAAAAUAGUGACAAUAAAUAAGAAAAAGAGAAUUGCUUCCUCUUUCAAUAUGAAAUCCAGUUCAUAAUAACAAAAAUUAAAUAAUUCACCAAUUCUUUAUUUCCAAAUAACUCAAAUUUUGAAUAGCAUAAUCAUGAACACACUUUGAAUCCUAACAGAUAAUUCACCAAUUUUAAACCCUAAAUAAGACAAAUUUUAAAUUAUUGAAAUGAAUUGAAGGAAAUUACCAUCAAAGAUGCAGUUGUCGAUUCUCCUGAGAGGCCAUAAUUACUAUGAAUAGCCAUAUUAAUGAUGAGGGACGCAUUUUUUCUAUGCUACCAUACUUGCUCUCGUAUUCUUCCCAAGUUCGGCUGAGGAAGAGUUACGAGGCAUAAAACAAAUAUAUGUAUGUAUGCAUAUAUGUGUGUGUGUCUCUCUCUCUCUCUAUAUAUAUAUGCUGAUUUGGGUUCGGAAUACUUUUUUUAUUUACCAUUCAUGGUAAAUAAAUAAAAAAGUAAGACUACUCCAUUUUGACAAAAGACCCACAACUAAAUUCUAUAGCUUUUGGUCCACUGUCCCGAUCAUGAUUUUCCUACCCCUAGAGGGAAGGGCCCUAAGCCUUGAGAAUGUCUAUUACGGCGUUUGUCGGUGAUGAGACCAGGGCGGUGCCGAAGAUGAUAUAAUAGAGACAAGGCUGAUUGAAUUUGGGAGAAGAGAGAGUGAGCGAGCGAGAUGUGAGAGAGCCGAGUUAUUUGAUUUGGGAGAGGAUUUAAAGCAAGCCCAAAAUGCAGCGUGUUUUACCCACUAUUGUACUCAUUAUUGUAAGAAUAUCAUUAUUGUAUCAGAAAUAGUUGGCCUUAAACAUAACUCAACAUUACACAAUGUGGGAUCAGUUUUAUGUCUAAUUGGGUCAUAUAUUUUCUAUGUGAGAGAUGCUGUGGUGAUACAGUACGAGGCCAAGAUUUGAAGCACUUUCCAGCGUUUGCUUAUUGUAUGGUCUCUAAGCCAUCUGAGAAUAUUAGGAUUUAGGAGAUUUGUGAAGAGGCUGGCUUGUGGUGAAUGUCUUUAAUGUGUGGAACACAUUUUCACACAUUUCUAUCUUAACGAUUAGGGUUCCACAUAAAAGCAAAAUGCAAGUUAAGGUUGAUGUUCCACAUACUUGCCGUAAAGAGUCUACAUUUUCUUUUAAUAUUUCUUAACUUUUCAAGAAUCUUGGUAAGUUUAAUAAGUGACUAAUGCCGCAAUUCCAAAAAAGCUAUCAUAUAUAAUUGUUAGUAAGUGACUACUGCGGCAAUACCAAAUAAACUCUCACAUUAGUAGAAACUCAAAUGUUAAGAUUAUAAUUAGGAUAACAUUAUAGUAUAAAAGCAAAAACAUAUUGUAUUGAGCAU
rnacentral:lncRNA from 1 species